rnacentral:rRNA from 1 species
CGCGAGACAACGGCGGCGGCGGCGCAGAUUUACAGGGGCGCGGCGUCGUUGGGCGUGUCCGUGCAGGAGGGGCUGCAGCACGCCAAGGCCAGCGUGGUCGGCUCGGUGCAGCAGGCGAUGGCGGGGAGCGAGGAGGAGGCGGCGCAGGCGGACCUGCGCGCGGCCAAGGCGCAGGUGGAGGCCACCGACGAGGCCGAGGCCAAGAAGAAGCACCUCGCCGGUUGA